rnacentral:rRNA from 1 species
AUUGAACGCUGGCGGCAUGCCUUACACAUGCAAGUCGAACGGCAGCACGGGAGCAAUCCUGGUGGCGAGUGGCGAACGGGUGAGUAAUAUAUCGGAACGUGCCCAGUCGUGGGGGGAUAACGUAGCGAAAGCUACGCUAAUACCGCAUACGAUCUACGGAUGAAAGCGGGGGAUCGCAAGACCUCGCGCGAUUGGAGCGGCCGAUAUCAGAUUAGGUAGUUGGUGAGGUAAAGGCUCACCAAGCCGACGAUCUGUAGCUGGUCUGAGAGGACGACCAGCCACACUGGGACUGAGACACGGCCCAGACUCCUACGGGAGGCAGCAGUGGGGAAUUUUGGACAAUGGGCGCAAGCCUGAUCCAGCAAUGCCGCGUGCAGGAUGAAGGCCUUCGGGUUGUAAACUGCUUUUGUACGGAACGAAACGGUGAGCUCUAAUACAGUUUGCUAAUGACGGUACCGUAAGAAUAAGCACCGGCUAACUACGUG